GUUCUCGUAGCUCAGUUGGAUAGAGCGCAACAUUGCGGAUGUUGAGGCCGGAGGUUCGAAUCCUCUCGAGAACA
rnacentral:tRNA from 1 species